UACAGAGGUGGCAAGCGUUGUUCGGAAUUACUGGGCGUAAAGGGCGCGUAGGCGGCCUACUAAGUCAGACGUGAAAUCCCUCGGCUUAACCGGGGAACUGCGUCCGAUACUGGAUGGCUUGAGUUUGGGAGAGGGAUGCGGAAUUCCAGGUGUAGCGGUGAAAUGCGUAGAUAUCUGGAGGAACACCGGUGGCGAAGGCGGCAUCCUGGACCAACACUGACGCUGAGGAGCGAAAGCCAGGGGAGCAAACGGG
rnacentral:rRNA from 1 species